rnacentral:rRNA from 1 species
GACGAACCACCCAAACGUUAUUCGGAAUUACUGGGCUUAAAGAGUGCGUAGGCGGUCUUGUAAGUAGGGUGUGAAAUCCCACAGCUCAACUGUGGAACUGCGCUCUAAACUACAAGACUAGAGGGAUAUAGAGGUGAGCAGAACUGAUGGUGGAGCGGUGAAAUGCGUUGAUAUCAUCAGGAAUACCGGAGGCGAAGGCGGCUCACUGGGUAUCUUCUGACGCUGAGGUACGAAAGCUAGGGGAGCGAACGGGAUUAGAUACCCCCGUAGUCC